rnacentral:lncRNA from 1 species
GGAGAAAACUACCUUUUUGCCCCACCAUUUGUUUGCCAUUUCUUAAAAGUCAGCUGGCCUCAAAACUGCAGUCUUUUCUUAGGAGGCAGAAGAACAGAGGGAGUACAGACAUCUCAGGACUAAGACCAAGACAGAGAGACUCCAAACCAGUGAUUUGAGAGCCCCGCGACGCAGCCUGCUACAGGAACGGGGACUUCUCUGGAACACUGGCGUGCGCAGGGAUUAAUCCCGCCGUAGAGAGCCAGCCUGGCCUUUGAAGUGUUACAAGGGAAAGGAGGAGGUAAGUGUCGAGGCGAGCCCCCAGCCCCCCUCCCCGCCCCCGGGCAGCGUGCGGCGGCCCGCAAAGGGUUAAAGGCCGCCUUGGCCCGGCGGUGCCGUG